UACGAGGGGGGCGAGCGUUGUUCGGAAUUAUUGGGCGUAAAGGGUGCGUAGGCGGUUUGGUAAGUCUUAUGUGAAAUCUACAGGCUCAACUUGUAGUCUGCAUGAGAAACUGCCGGGCUUGAGUAUGGGAGAGGUGAGUGGAAUUCCUGGUGUAGCGGUGAAAUGCGUAGAUAUCAGGAGGAACACCUGUGGCGAAAGCGGCUCACUGGACCAUAACUGACGCUGAUGCACGAAAGCUAGGGGAGCGAAUGGG
rnacentral:rRNA from 1 species